rnacentral:rRNA from 1 species
AGUGAACGCUGGCGGCGUGCUUAACACAUGCAAGUCGAACGAGAACGGAUUAUAGCUUGCUAUAAUUGUCAGCUAAGUGGCGCACGGGUGAGUAAUGUAUAGGUAAUAUGCCUCUUACUAAGGGAUAACAAAUGGAAACGUUUGCUAAUACCUUAUACUCCUUAUUAACAGAAGUUAAUAAGGGAAAGAUUUAUUGGUAAGAGAUUAGCCUGUAUUGUAUCAGUUAGUUGGUGGGGUAAUGGCUUACCAAGACUAUGACACAUAACUGGUUCGAGAGGAUGAUAAGUCACACUGGAACUGAGACACGGUCCAGACUCCUACGGGAGGCAGCAGUGGGGAAUAUUGCACAAUGGACGAAAGUCUGAUGCAGCAACGCCGCGUGGAGGAUGACACAUUUCGGUGCGUAAACUCCUUUUAUAUGAGAUGAUAAUGACGGUAUUAUAUGAAUAAGCACCGGCUAACUCCGUGCCAGCCGCCGCCGUAA